rnacentral:rRNA from 1 species
AUUGAACGCUGGCGGCAGGCCUAACACAUGCAAGUCGAGCGAGCGCCGGACGGGUGUGUAAUGUAUGUGGACUGUCCGUUAUAGGGGGGUAAAAACUGGGAACGGUGGCUCAUACCGCAUACGCUCUGAUAGCCCAUAUGGGAUUAGCUCGUAGGUAAGGUAAUGGCGUACCUAGGCGACGAUCCCUAGCUGGUCUGAGAGGAUGAUCAGCCACACUGGGACUGAGACACGGCCCAGACUCCGACGGAGGCAGCAGUGGGGAAUAUUGCACAAUGGGCGCAAGCCUGAUGCAGCCAUGCCGCGUGUAUGAAGAAGGCCUUAGGGUUGUAAAGUACUUUCAGUCGGGAGGCGUUACCGAAAGAAGAAGCACCGGCUAACUCCGUGCCAGCAGCCGCGGUAAUAC